rnacentral:rRNA from 1 species
AAAACAUCGCCUCUUGCUGAAAACCAAGAAUAAGAGGUCCCGCCUGCCCUGUGACUAUAAGUUUAACGGCCGCGGUAUUUUGACCGUGCAAAGGUAGCGCAAUCACUUGUCUUUUAAAUGAAGACCUGUAUGAAUGGCAUAACGAGGGCUUAGCUGUCUCCUUUUUCAAGUCAAUGAAAUUGAUCUCCCCGUGCAGAAGCGGGGAUGACAUCAUAAGACGAGAAGACCCUAUGGAGCUUUAGACACCGGAAUAAAUCAUGUUAAGCAACCCCUAACAUGGGGCGAAACAAAUGAAAAUUAUUCCGUGUCUUUGGUUGGGGCGACCGCGGGGAAAUAAAAAACCCCCACGUGGAUUGGGGCUACACUGCCCCACAACUGAGAGCUCCUGCUCUAGCUAACAGAACAUCUGACCAAUUAAGAUCCGGCAACGCCGAUCAACGGACCGAGUUACCCUAGGGAUAACAGCGCAAUCCCCUUUUAGAGCCCAUAUCGACAAGGGGGUUUACGACCUCGAUGUUGGAUCAGGACAUCCUAAUGGUGCAGCCGCUAUUAAGGGUUCGUUUGUUCAACGAUUAAAGUCCUACGUGAUCUGA